AAUAGCCUAACGGCUGAACCAGCAACUUGGAAGAAUGUAUACCGACUAUGUUGGAUAAAGUUCUAGAUAGAAUAAUGAUGAUGACAAUUUUCUAUCUAUAAGUCUUGACCAAUUCUUGUGCCAGCAGUCGCGGCAAGACAAGUAAGACUAGUGUUAUUCAUCUUUAAUAGGUGUAAAGGGUACCUAGACGGUAAAUUUAGCCCCUAAAGGGUACAGAUUUUACUAGAGUUUAGUUGUGAGAGGUAUAUAUUAGUACUGUUAGUGUAGAGAUAAAAUUCUUUGAUAGUAAUAGGCACCGAUAACGGCGAAAGCAGCCCUCUAUGCGAAAACUGACGUUGAGGGACGAAGGCUUGGGGAGCGAAUAGGAUUAGAUACCCCGGUAGUCCAGGCAGACAAUGAUGAAUGCCAUAGAUUAGUAUGUAAUUAGUCUAUAAAUGAAAGUGUAAGCAUUCCACCUCAAGAGUAAUGUGGCAACGCAGGAACUGAAAUCAUUAGACCGUUUCUGAAACCAGUAGUGAAGUAUGUUAUUUAAUUCGAUGAUCCACGAAAAACCUUACCACAAUUUGAAUAAUAAUUAUAUUUAAUUAUAUACAUGCGUUGCACGGCUGUCUUCAGUUAAUGUCGUGAGAUUUGGUUAGAUCCAUUAAAUUAACGUAAACCCUUACUUUAUUUAUAAAAUCUAUCCAUAAAAAUAAAGUAGUUCUCCGCUAUAUUGGAUAAGAUAAAAGGGACUAAGACAAGUCAUCAUGGCCUGAAUAUUGU
rnacentral:rRNA from 1 species